rnacentral:tRNA from 1 species
UGUGGCUCAGAGGUAGAGUGCUUGCCUAGCAUGCAGGAGGCACUGGGUUCAAUCCUCAGCA